ensembl:lncRNA
CCGAAACAGCGCAUUUGGGGGAAGCUCAAUGUGCGACUGGCUCGGAGUGGCUGUAACUCUGCACCACGGCUGAAUUUCAGGAACGUCUUUGAAUACUGUGUUAGUUGCCCACUAAUACCUAUAUUAAAGAAUACAUAAAAUAGCAUGUCAUGGGACCUUUAACCCUAACUGCUCCUGACGAGCUGGCUGUCUGUCGCCUUGCAUGGUUGACUCUGCCAUCGGUGUGUCAAUGUGUGGAUUAACCGAUGUAAGUCGCUUUGGAUAAAAGCGGCUGCUAAAUGCCCUAAUUGUAAUUGACACCCAUCCUUUAAACAGUGCAUUUCAGCUGAUCCCUUCUGGAUAGAGGCUCAAAGUUCCCAAAAUCUGUACAAACCGCUACAGGAAAAGUAUUUUUCCUGCAGCCAUUAUCCGUAUAAAUAAAAUGUUGCAGCGCCACUAGGGUUGCAUAAUAUUCUUGCUCUGAUGUCCUAGCACUUGAGAUUCUCGUCGUCAGUUUUAUGUUGCGUGUUUUAUUAAGUAUGCUGUUGUUUUUUUCGUACUAUAUAUGCUAAGUGAACGCCUUCUUCUUGACCUGCAAAUCCAAUUUAUCAGGAGGUAUAAAUAGAACUACCUUGAACCUUGAAUAUCAGCAAAACAACAUCACUGCUCAGCAGUUCAGAACCAGGCCUUAGCCUCUCUUCCUCCACGAGCUAUCCCUGAGCUUGAUGAUAAUCCACCUAAAUAUGCUGCCUUUAUUAGAGCCUUCGAAGAAAUCUACAGAUAAACAAUGUCUUUGUUACCUCGAGCAAUACACCAGAGGACAGCCAAGAAUACUGAUUCAGAGUUGCUAUAACGAUUGAAAGAACACUGGAAAUGAAAGUUGCUGUAGCUUAUACGGAGCAGGCUAUGAAGUGGCCAACAAUGAAGGCAGAUGACACCAAUGCUCUACAGUCUUUUUCCAUCUUUUUAAAGCACUGUUGCAAUGUCCUGGAAGAUUUACAGCAUAUGGAGGAGAUAGAUGGAGUCUUCCCCUGAUAAUGAAGAAGUUGCAUAUAGCUUUGUGGGCGGUUCUAUGGCAUAAUUCAACGCAAAAUUUGGCCAAAGUCUGCAUAUUCAUGCAGGGGCCGCAUUUUUUCAAAUAUGCCGCACUUUCACCGCAUAAAUUGCCGAUUUCCACGCAAAAUAUGCAGGGCUUACAUGAUUUCAUAAUACCUGCAUUUUCGUUGCAAAAAAAAGUCACAUAUAUCUUAGCAGAAAGUUGAAAUUUUUUAGUUUACUUCACACAAGAGCAGCCAUUUCCCCCUGUUGCCAUGGUAACGUUAUGAAUUGAUGUAAUUACGAGUCGUUAACGUCAUCGAAAAGCUGCAUUUUCCGAAAGUUCCCGCAUUUUUUUGCAAGUUCCCGCAAUUUCCUCGCAUCAAGGAUUUUUGGCCGCAACAAUCACAAGAAAACGCCACAUUUUCUGGAGGGACUGGAUAGGGACAGUUUUUGGAUUGUCACCUCCAGCCUGCAGUCUUCACUCCCUCCAGCCCGAUACGCCCCAGUCCAACCAACCUCCUGCUUCACUCCUAGCUGAACUAAAUAAACCUGUUCACCGUCACUCCAACUCCUGUCCUGUCUCCUGCUCUUGGGUCCAGCAGCUAACGCUACCCUAACAAUAAUGGCACACUUAAAAAGUACUAAAUAUAGUCAGAAUGUGUAUUAGCUUCUCUGCGGUGCACAGCUAGCAGGGUAGUGCUAGCACAGCUUUUGUUUAUCUUUAUUUUUCCCUUUUAUUAUUGUUAUUUAGUUAACUUGUUAAAGAGUGUGACUAAAAAUAAUUCUCUGGGGUCAGAUGAUCCAAAUUUGAAUAUAAAUGUUACGAUGAAGAGAAACUGUUUGAAAAUGUUGUUUAAGAUGUUGUUAAAGAUGUAUUUAAAUGUACUUUAUUAUGCACAUUUUCCCUGUCAUGCCGUGCAUGUUAAAAAUAAACUUUUCUACCUCAAGUAUGUUCUAAAUAU